CGCUAGUAAUCGCGGAUCAGCACGCCGCGGUGAAUACGUUCCCGGGCCUUGUACACACCGCCCGUCACACCAUGGAAGUCUGCAAUGCCCGAAGCCGGUGGCCUAACCACUUAUGUGGAAGGAGCCGUCUAAGGCAGGGCAGAUGACUGGGGUGAAGUCGUAACAAGGUAGC
rnacentral:rRNA from 1 species